rnacentral:rRNA from 1 species
UGAGUAACGCGUGGGCAACCAACCCUGUACAGUGGGAUAACACCGGGAAACCGGUGCUAAUACCGCAUGACACCUAGACAGUGCAUACUGACUAGGUUAAAGGAUUUAGCCGGUACAGGACGGGCCCGCGUCCCAUUAGCUAGUUGGUGAGGUAACGGCUCACCAAGGCGACGAUGGGUAGCCGACCUGAGAGGGUGACCGGCCACACUGGGACUGAGACACGGCCCAGACUCCUACGGGAGGCAGCAGUGGGGAAUAUUGCGCAAUGGAGGAAACUCUGACGCAGCGACGCCGCGUGAGCGAAGAAGGCCUUCGGGUCGUAAAGCUCUGUUCUUGGGGACGAAUAAGGUGACGGUACCCAAGGAGAAAGCCCCGGCUAACUACGUGCCAGCAGCCGCGGUAAUACGUAGGGGGCGAGCGUUGUCCGGAAUUACUGGGCGUAAAGGGCGUGUAGGCGGCCGAGCAAGUCAAGUGUGAA